rnacentral:rRNA from 1 species
AGUGAACGCUGGCGGUAGGCCUAACACAUGCAAGUCGAACGGCAGCACAGUAAGAGCUUGCUCUUACGGGUGGCGAGUGGCGGACGGGUGAGGAAUACAUCGGAAUCUACUUUUUCGUGGGGGAUAACGUAGGUAAACUUACGCUAAUACCGCAUACGACCUACGGGUGAAAGCAGUGGAUCUUCGGACCUUGCGCGAUUGAAUGAGCCGAUGUCGGAUUAGCUAGUUGGCGGGGUAAAGGCCCACCAAGGCGACGAUCCGUAGCUGGUCUGAGAGGAUGAUAAGCCACACUGGAACUGAGACACGGUCCAGACUCCUAGGGGAGGCAGCAGUGGGGAAUAUUGGACAAUGGGCGCAAGCCUGAUCCAGCCAUACAGCGUGGGUGAAGAAGGCCUUCGGGUUGUAAAGCCGUUUUGUUGGGAAAGAAAAGAAGCAGGUUAAUACCCCGCUGUUCUGACGGUACCCAAAGAAUAAGCACCGGCUAACUUCGU